CGUUUGCUCAAAUUUUAGUUAAAAAAUAUUGCUAAAUUGAUUGCUAAGUUUCUAGCUGGUCAAAUUUGAGCAAAAUUUUGCUAAAUUCCGGCCUCGAAAGUUUUGUGUGUACACUGUAAAUUUUUGCCUCGAUUUCCAGCAAAAAAAAUUGCUGGAAACGUUCAGCAAUCCAAAUUUUUGCCGGAAACCAGCAAUCUGUUUUCGAAUUGCUGGAUUUUUCAGCAUUCGGUUGUGUUCUUGUCAUUUUUGCUGAAAAAUCAGCAAUCGGUUUUCAAAUUGCUGGACUUUCCAGCAAUUGAUCUAGUUUGCUGGAAAUUCAGCAAUCGAAUUGUCAAAUUGGAGUGAUUAUUUCCGUACGCUGAAACAAGGUGAGACUUUAUUUCACGAACUUUGAUAAAAUUAAUACAAUUAUUCUUAUUUUCUUCUAUUUUCUAGCAACCAGACAUCAAGGCAAGGGUGAGUAUUUAAAAGAUAGGUAGAUAUUUCACGAAAAAUACUAAUCAAAACUCUAUUUCAGGUGGCGUAUGAUUAACACCCCGGUGUUUGUAUAUUAGAAUAACAUGUGAUUUCGGGAAUAAAUACAUAAAUGAAAAAUGGAAGAAAAUAAUUGUUAUUUAUUUCUUGUCAUACCACAGCCAGUAUCCCAAUAUUUAAUUUCGAAUUGAAAUAUAAAUUUGAUACCAAAUACAGCCGAAUGUUCUGAAAGAAAUAGCUGGUUUCCAGCAAUCUGGAUUGCUGAUUUUCCAGCAAUUUGAAUUGCUGGAAACCAGCAUUAACGUUUGCUGUUUUUUCCAGCAAUUUAAAUUGCUGGAAAUUUUGCUGGAAAGUCAGCGGGACAAAAACCAGCAAAAUUUUACUGGUUUCCAGCAAAAAAAAAUUUGCUGUGUAUAGUAAUAAAAGUUAACUAACCUCCGGUUUAUCCUCGGCAUCCUGUUUUUCAAUCUCUUUGGAAAUCUUGUCCCAGUCAUGAGGUUUUUUCUUGACUGCCGGAUCCGUAGUGGCCACGGCUUGUGCUUUUUUCUCUAGCGCUUCCCACCGAUUGCCGAUCAAUUUGGCCAGCUUGAUCUCCACCUUGCUAGGGGAAGCUUUGUGCGAGCUCUGAUCCACAUUGAUAUCGUUCCAAAGGUUCAGCACUAUCGGAUCGAUUCCAUCUGCCGUCAGCCGUACUGUGCUCUGUUCGAGGGUUACGGAAUAGUUCUUGUCGGCAGCGUUUUUAAGUAAAACCGUAAUAGUUACGGCCGUGUCCGAUUGAUACCAAUCGUACUUUACCGAAGCCAUUCUUUGUGACUUCUGUCGCAGGAUCAAAUCUUUGUUUUCCGGAACAAUGAAAAUAGUUACCACUGUUGAAGAUCCUGAAAUGUUAGGUCGAUUGCAGAUUCUAGAAAUUUGUGGAAACGAGUGCAAUACCCAGUAGGAAAUCUUCUUCUUCUUCUUCUUCGUUUUAAUGUUUUGGCCAGAGAACGUUACUCUACAGUAGGAAAUCCUGCUGGCUCAGCGAGUAGAACAUGUUACGAACCGUUAUUCUUUUUCUUUUCGUCAGUUAACGACUUGAUUGGGAAUGAACCCAAUGAACUCAAUAGCAAUUAUAAUCUCAAAUUUGAGUAGUCCACACUAGGCUAGGAGACGGUUCGGAGACGGUUCGUCUCGAGACGGUCUCAGCGUCUCCCAUUUUCUUCGGGAGACACUGAGACCGUCUCAGGUUUCCAACAACAACAACAGACAACAAAGUUCGUUUCAUAACAAAAAUCGCAGUUCAUGUUGCCUAGUGUGGACUAGGCUUAACAGAGACUCGGAAAGAGAUUUGUUGAUAACAUCAAAGGUGCUAUCACGGCUUCACGAAACCCUGGCGACAAAACGCGGCAGCACCAUAAACAUUGUGUAGGCGUGACCAAAGAUUUGUUCGUAAAGACAACAGCCCGACUAUCUUGAUACUUAACACUUAAAGCAUAUUUGUUUUCAUCUGGUGAUCAACCAGUUCUGAAAGUUAGUCAUUUUGUCUGCACUUGCGUUGUAAAAUUUUCAGUUUUCGGCCUUGUAUACAGCAACAUGAUUUAUAAAGUUGUAGCUUUAAAUUUGUUACAAAGAGUAAAAAACUACGCUAGAAAUUGAAUAAUGUUUAAUAUUAAUUGUUAGGAGUAAGUGAGCCUGUCAGUUGUUGUUGUUCAUCAUUAUGUUCCAACCGUGAUUUUCCAAAAGUGGAAAGUGUUUCAGAGUGGAUAAAUAUAAAUAUGAACUGUAAAUUUAAAUAGCUGUUCAAUUGCUAGCUUGAUUAACCUACCUAACCUAAGGGUCCAGCGCCGAUUGACCGGCGCAUAGGGCUGAGAUAAAAGAUCUCCACUGCUGGCGAUCCGGAGCCAGCGUCUUCACUUGCUGCCAGCCGAGGUUCUCGUCAACUGUGCGGAUUUCAGCGGCUAGACUUCGCCGCCACGAGCUUUUGGGCCUGCCUCUUCUUCGAUGCCCAACUGGAUUCCAGUCAAGCGCCUCUCUGCAAAUCUCGUUUUCAUCUCUUCGCAGCGUGUGCCCAAUCCAUCUCCACUUACGUUCCCGAAUCUCGAUUUCUAGCGCCUUUUGAUGACACCGGCGAUGAAGUUCAACGUUUGAGAUCCAGUUGCCAGGCCACCAAGCGCGGAUGAUGUUCCGCAGGCAGCGAUUCACAAAAACUUGCAGUUUUCGCGUCGUCACCGCAUAUGUGCACCAAGUUUCACACCCGUACAGCAAUACGGAUUUGACGUUUGAGUUGAAGAUUCGGAUUUUUGUUCGUAGAGAGAUCUGGCGUGACCGCCAGAUGUUUCGGAGACUCGCAAACGCAAAUCGGGCUUUUCUGAUCCGGGUCUCGAUGUCCUUCUUGGUCCCACCAUCAGGCGUAAUCUGGCUACCAAGAUACUGGAAGCACUCCACUGUCUCAACCUGUUGUCCAGCUACCACGAAAUUGGAACGAUUUUCUGUAUUGAUUUCCAUCGACUUGGUCUUUCCGACAUUGAUUUUGAGACCUGCUGCCUUGGAGCUUUCGGUGAGGUCGUCGAGUUUGCUCUGCAUGUCUUGUUGUGUUUGGGCGAGCAAAACAAUAUCGUCUGCCAGGUCAAGGUCGUUCAGUUGCUCCAUGGUUGAAGGAUUCCACGGCAAUCCUCGGUUUGGUCUACAGUCAAUCGAUCCAGUCAAGAUCUCAUCCAUUACGAUGAGAAAAAGCAGCGGUGACAAAAUACAUCCUUGUCUCACUCCAGCAGUUACCGGGAUUGGUUCGGACAAGACACCGUCGUGCAAGACCUUGCACGAAAAUGCCUCGUACUGUGCUUCGAUGAGAUGGACUAGUUUCUCUGGGACCCCUCGUCGUCUAAGAGCAGCCCAGAUGUUUUCGUGGUUCAGUCGGUCAAAUGCUUUUUCGAAAUCAACGAACACCAGCAGAAGAGAGUCCUGGAAUUCGUUGAUUUGUUCCAGUAUUAUUCGUAGCGUUGUGAUGUGGUCCACACAUGAUCGUCCGGAUCGGAAUCCAGCUUGUUGCCGUCGGAGUGUAGCGUCGAUUUUCUCCUGGAUCCUGUUCAGGAUCACUUUGCAGAGUACUUUGAGGGUUGUACAGAUCAAAGUUAUGCCACGCCAGUUACCGCACUCUGUUAGGUCUCCUUUCUUUGGGACCUUUACGAGGAUACCCUGCAUCCAGUCGGCCGGGAAUGUAGCAGUAUCCCAAAUGUCAGCGAAUAGACGGUGCAACAUUUGUGCUGACAAGGCAGGGUCGGCUUUGAGCAUUUCAGCAGGAAUGCAAUCGAUUCCAGGCGCAUUGUUGGAUUUCAUGUCCUUGAUUGCCGCUUCUAUUUCAGCCAGCGAGGGCGCUUCCGAGUUGACGCCAUUAAUGCGACUUACUGUGGGCGCCUCGAGCUGCGGGUUCUGUUGGCCAUUGCUAUUUGUAACUCGAAAAAGUUGAUCAAAAUGCUCAGUCCAACGCUUGAGCUGAUCUGUUCGAUCUGUCAGCAGCUGACCUGCUCGGUUUUUCAGCGGCAUUCUUGCAUUAGUCCUUGCACCACUAAGGCGGCGAAAAAUAUCAUAUAAUAAUCGGAUAUCUCCAAUGGCGGCGGCUCUUUCUCCCUCUUCGGCUAGGGAGUUUGUCCAGGCUCUCUUGUCUCGUCUACAAGCUCGUUUAACUGCCUUUUCCAGCUCCGCAUAUCGUAAGCGGGCGGCUGCUUUGGCUGACCCGGUACAUGCCUGCUCAAUUCCGACUUUCGCCUUUCUCCGAUCAUCGAUCAUCCUCCAGGUUUCAUCCGACAUCCAUUCACUUCGUCUUCCACAAACUUUACCGAGAGUACCAUGGCUCGUCGUGAUAAAGGCAUUCUUGAUUCCACACCACUGUUCUUCGACUGUUCCGUCUGUCGGCAAUUCCGAGGCUCGGGAUUCUAGCUGUUCAACGUAUGCCCUUUUCACCUCUGGAUUCUCCAACCGGCGGACGUCGUAUCGACACCCGACUUUCUCCUCGCGCCGUUGGACACGCGCAACUCUCAGUCGUAUCUCGCCAAGGACGAGGUGAUGGUCAGAUGCAAUGUCUGCGCUUCGUUUGUUGCGGACAUCAAGAAGGCUCCUUCUCCAUUUUCGGCUGAUGCAGAUGUGGUCAAUUUGAUUUUCUGUUCGGCCAUCUCGGGAUACCCAAGUGACCUUAUGUGCUGGUCGAUGGGGGAAGAGCGAUCCACCGAUAACCAUGUUGUUGUUGCCACAAAAUUCUACAAACAGCUCUCCGUUUUCGCUCAUCUGUCCUAGGCCAUGGCGCCCCAUGAUGCGCUCAAAGUCCUGAUUAUCGGAGCCAAUCUUUGCGUUGAAGUCGCCUAAGUGGAUUUGAAUGUCACCCUUCGGAAUUCUCUCAACCACGCUGUUCAAUUGACUGUAAAACUGCUCUUUCUCCUGCAAAUCGGCAACGUCAGUUGGCGCAUAACACUGGACCAUUGUAAGGUUUCUAACCCGUGUUCUGAAUCUGGCUACGAUUAUUCUUUCGUUUAUCGGUUCCCAUCUUAUGAGGGCCGCAUGGGCCUGCGGGCUUAACAGGAAACCAACUCCUCGUUCCCGAGUAGCAUGUUCUCCUCGUAUGCCAGAGUAAAGCAGUACUUGCCCGGACUGUGUCUUGUGUUCUCCAGUGUUAAGCCAACGGACUUCGCUCAGUCCCAAUAUCUCUAGCUUGAGGCGGCUAGCUUCUCUAGCAAGUUGAGCCAGCUUUCCUGGCUGGGCAAGGGUCAAGACAUUCCAAGUUCCAAUUCUAGUCCGUGUUUUCAUGCUAAAAGUCGUUGCCAAAGUUCCAAUUCGGUUAUUUCUUCUCUCAGUUUCUGUAACAAUAAAUGAUUUCAGGAGCAGUAGGUUGUUAGCCUAAAGUCCCUAUCCCGCGAUGGGGCUGCCAUCUUGUACUUAGCUGGCGGGAGCCGCAUUUCAUAAAUUCAGCCGCUUGCUGCAAGACAGACGCUGUUUGAGCCGCCCCUGACCUGGAGAACAGACGCUCGGUUGUUGUUGCACGCCGCCCCUGACCUGGGGAACAGACGCGUGCGGCCACCUUCUCAGUCUGCAUGCGACCAAAGCAUCCACCGGGGUUGGGUACCCGAUCUCCGCUUAGGUUACUCGCACCCCAGCCGGCACCGCGGGGAGGUAGAGAUAGGAGUUGUGAAUAAGAGGUGAUAUGACCACUAUGGGGUCUCGUGUUGCACAUUAUCCACCGUUUACCAGCCAGCUAGCUUGAUUGGAUGUCUCAAAAUCAGCAUUAAACCAACUCAUAAGCGAGUAACAACAUUUCAGUGUGUCACGCGACGUAACGCUUUCAAUUCUCUCACGCACACACAUUAAAGUAUGUUUCUUUUCUUUAUGUUUACAUUUUGGUUCCUCCUUCACGUAAUAUCGUUCAUUCAUCAGUUACGAUCGGUGUAGAAAUGGAGCUGAUCUUGGUGCUUUAAAAGUUUUGCAAAGAGAAAGUAACUAAUUUGAGUGCUUUAGCAGUGGAGAAGACUUCUCCCAAUAAAUUUCGGCGUUGAGUUUAAUUUUCGAAGUUGGCUGCAGAAAAACAUUGUGAAGAUUCAGAUGAAAAAUUCGAAACAUCAAUGAGUUUUCAAACACGGGUUUAUGUUUCAGUUUAGUUAUUGAGCCUAGUCAUUCUUCAAAUUAGCAGUAUCGAAAGCCGUCUGACUUAAAAACUUAGACCAUCUCGAGGGUUUCCCCGAUUCUUUCCAUGGAUGAGAUGUAAUAUGAGCAAGAGUCAGCUGCUGAAAACGAAAUUGCACAGUAAGGAUUUUCAGUUGUGUUAUCGUCAUCGAACAAAGAAGAGAAGGAAAUGAUACAUUGGUGGAGCUAAAGUAACUGGAUAAAUUGAAAAGAAGUCAAUAUUUUUAUGAGAAGCCACCUGUUGAGACAGCUAAGCUAAGUCAUGUACGCAUGCUUUGCUGUGUGGGGUAGAAACGCGACCAGGAAGCAAUAAUAUUAAUAGAUACACAGAGACUGGCCAAAAACUUAGUAAAGUUAAGCUUGUAUUAAUAAAAAUAAAAUUAGAAAAGCUUUAUAGGAAAAAAGCAAGUGACGGUGAAUAGUUCUGGAAGAAAAUGAAGGCAAUCGAGGCAAAAAUUGUCGUUUUGGGAUCACAAGUUUCUGUAACAAUAAAUGAUUUCAGGAGCAGUAGGUUGUUAGCCUAAAGUCCCUAUCCCGCGAUGGGGCUGCCAUCUUGUACUUAGCUGGCGGGAGCCGCAUUUCAUAAAUUCAGCCGCUUGCUGCAAGACAGACGCUGUUUGAGCCGCCCCUGACCUGGAGAACAGACGCUCGGUUGUUGUUGCACGCCGCCCCUGACCUGGGGAACAGACGCGUGCGGCCACCUUCUCAGUCUGCAUGCGACCAAAGCAUCCACCGGGGUUGGGUACCCGAUCUCCGCUUAGGUUACUCGCACCCCAGCCGGCACCGCGGGGAGGUAGAGAUAGGAGUUGUGAAUA